rnacentral:rRNA from 1 species
UACGGGGGGGGCAAGCGUUGUUCGGAAUUACUGGGCGUAAAGGGCUCGUAGGUGGCCAACUAAGUCGGACGUGAAAUCCCUCAGCUUAACUGGGGAACUGCGUCCGAUACUGGAUGGCUUGAGUUUGGGAGAGGGAUGCGGAAUUCCAGGUGUAGCGGUGAAAUGCGUAGAUAUCAGGAGGAACACCGAUGGCGAAGGCAGGUCUCUGGGCCACUACUGACGCUGAGAAGCGAAAGCAUGGGGAGCGAACAGG